ensembl:lncRNA
CCGCUCAGACCCUGAUGCAGCACCGCCUGGUCCCCCUGGUCUUCAGUAGUCUCUUCAGUAGUCUCUGUGUUUCCCGACACCAAACACCCAGAGAUACAGUUCACAACAGGUCUGUAGUCGUCAAUUUGCAACAGAUGUGUCUGGAUUUCAAAGUUUGAGGGUAGGCUAUCAUCCACACGGAGCCCAGCAGCCUACAUCCGCACCGAGACGAGCAGGCAAGUGGACAGCGAGCCCGGGUCGGGACAAAAAAAAGAGUUGCGAGGUCUUCCGUGAUUUCGGUGGUAGGAGAUUGAAAAGAAGGAGUAUGGAAGGGGAGAUUUGGAGGUACCUGGAUCAGGUCUUGGGUCAGCCUUCAAAUCCCAGAUGUGGAGACUGCAGGGAUACCCGAGAGGACACUAAAGAGCCAUCUCUCAUUCAUCGAGUGGACUCAUUGGUUUGCGAAUGACCACAAAGAUGCUCCCAUAGGCAGAUUGCUGCAUGGCAUUCACCACUUAUUCAAAUUGUAGGGGUUGAAGCAGUCUUCCUUGUGGUCACUUGCCAUAACACUGUCAUGUGUUUUAUCAAAACACAAUCAGUAACAUUUAAAUUGAGUUGAUGUCGACGGCUCUUUUUUUGUCUGAUUUUUUCAGUGUUCAGUGCCAGUUUGUGAGAUAUGCAUUGUUUGAAAGAUAAGCCUUUGAUUUUGGUUAAUUUUAAUAUGCCUUUCAUCAACAGUGGUUUGGGGUUUUAUAACGACAAUUAAAGUGCCUAACUACUGGUGAACGAUGUUGCAGAACAUAUAUGGUUUGUGUUGAUUGCAUGGAAAAGGGAAUAACCAGUUACAACUUAUAUUGUAAGAGCCUGGUAAUACCAUGGAAACAAACGAGGCUUCCUUUUACAGUACAGUUUCAGCUUACUUACUGGGUAAAUUGUCGUGUUUUACUUGGUAACGUCGCAGAACGUACACGGUAC